CGGGCUGCCGCGCUCCUGGCCGGGGCUGCGUGUGCAGGGGCCGGGCCACCCCCGGCGUGUGUGAGUCGCGGAGGCGCUGCAGGGGCUGCGGCUGGAGGCGGCGGUGCGAGGGGGGGACUCGGUGCAGGCAGGACAUUGCUGUGGGGGUUGGUGCAUCCGUCGCUUUAUUUCGGGCUGUGGGGCGGGGCUCCCCUUCCCCCUCCAGCCCCGCGAGCUUUGUAUGCGCCCUGGGGGGGGGGUGGUAGGGCGGGCGGCGGAUCCGCUGCUCCAAGCGCCUCAGCCAUUCCCCCUCCCCCCCGCAGUUGUGGGGCUCUGAGCUUCCGGCCCUGGCACCAGACUGGGGGGGGUGUGGCUGGUCCCGGUCACUGGGUGGCUGUGAGGGACACAGCCCCAGCCCCGCCCCCCCAGGGGGAUGCUGCAGCAGGGAACUAGAGCGCAGAACACCCCCCCCCCCAGCUCCUUGCAGUGGGGGAAGGUGCUGCAGGGCAAGUCCCACUCCCCAUCCACCAGCUCCUGGGGGGGGACGGACGCGGGGAGAGUGUGUGUCUAUCUUAGAGGCUUAAACUGCACUGAGCAUGCUCGGUAACAUCUGCUGAAGCCACUGCCCUUCUCCCUGCCCUUACUUGGCAUCAGAUUCCGAUGACUACUUUUUACCUGGGUGAUGUAAGCAGAGUGAGGAUGAGCUCUACCCUGACAUCUGGUGGUGAAUUAUGGCGAGUGUGGAAAAGAACUCCAGGGGCUGAUCUUGUUUGCAUAGGUACGCCCACCCGCCUGGCAUGAAACAACAGCAACUGAUAGUCGUUACUUUGGAUGGGGUGGGAUCCCCAGUUUAUCUGUUAUUGGGGCAGGAGGAAUAAAGUGUUGUUACCUGAUUAUGUGAAUCAAGGCCAGUGGAACUGUUGUAUGACAGAAGGACUCACCAUUACCUAAGUAGCACUUGCUUGACAAGGGGCAUGGGUUACAAACCCCCACAGUGAAUUGAGAGAGGUUGGUCGUAGGUAUUUAUAUUUAGUGGUGUGGGCUCUUUCUGUGAGCCUGAAACACCAAUUGCACUGCCCCCCUUCCUGCUGCCACCCACCUGUUGAGUGUCAGAGUUAACUUUGAUUCCAUUAGGAGUCUAGUUACAAGCUGCUGAACUGAGUUCACUUUGGGCCAAUGAUGCACUAGCACUGGGGCUUCCCUACUAAGAGCUGAAAUCACUAAAGAGCAAAGUUACUAAGAGCUGAGAUCACUGAGGCUGUGUUAACUAGUGGGGAAACCUGAAGCUAUAUUGCCAAGUGGAUGGCGGAGCAGUUUGCAGGGCCGGCUGGAGGAGCAGCUAGCAGAGCGGAGCCUUGCGGGGAUGGUUGGAGCGGUCCAAGGGACAGUUGAAGUGGAGUGGAGCCAAGCGGCUCACAGGUUGGUAAGUGGAGCAGAGCGGAGCAGCUGGCAGAGCAGAGCAGUUCGUGGGACGGCAGGAACGGCUCACGGGACAGCUGGUGGAGUGGAGCGGCUCGUAGUGAAGGCUGCGGCGGAACCCCACGGAGAGGCGGCCGGUCGGCCACGGAUCAUGGGCUGGUGACCUUUAAGGAGGUGGCUGUGUAUUUCACUAGGGAAGAGUGGGCUCUGCUGGACCCCACUCAGAGAGCCCUCUGCAGAGACGUCAUGCAGGAGAACUAUGAGAAUGUGACCUCGCUGGGUAUUGACUUUUCAGUCCUGGUUUCCCAAAGAGGCAGUGGGUGCUACGUACUAACUGAGAUCAUGUCUACACUUACCUCCAGAACGAUCGAUCCAGCGGGCGUCAAUUUAUCGCAUCUAGUAAAGACGCAAUAAAUCGACCACUGAGUGCUCUCCCGUUGACUCUGGUACUCCACCGGAGCAAGAAGCAUAGGUGGAGUCGACGGGGGAGUGUCAGCUGUCAACCUACCGCAGUGAAGACACCGCAUAAGUAGUUCUAAGUACGUCGACUUCAGCUACGCUAUUUUCGUAGCUGAAGUUGCAUAAUUUAGACCGACUUAGCUUGCCCCCCACCCUCCCGCUAAUGUAGACCAGGCCUGAGAUAAAUGUCAAGUGACAGAGAUCCAUCAGGGAACAAAGAGAACCACAGUUUCAGCCCCUGCUGUGUGUAGUAAAAUGUUAAAGAACAAGAUAUUAUACAGCAGAAAAUCUGCCCUUAUAAAUCCUGAAACAGGAACCGAGGAGGCAGCUGUCCAUUUAGUUAUUAAUCCCAAUCACAGAACUUCACUCAGGCCGUGUGAUCCACACUCAGACGCUUGAAUAUUUCAAUUCUAACACCAAAUUAUUGUUGACAUUUAAGCCACAACUUCAGAGCUUCUGCCUUAGAUCUCGCCAGCAUGUAGCUAACCUUCUGCCGGUGGCUUCUACAGAUAAAUACCUUAAUACAGGCACAGACAUUAAUACACAGAAUGUUAAUGGUAUGUAUCCAACAGCUCAGGUUCUUUGAACACUUUCACCGAACUAGGAGCACAUGAUCAAUCAUUUGGUAGGGCAGCAUUUUAGGGUUAUUUAGAUUUGGGCCUUAUUCUUUUUAGCUCCUUUCCUGCAUGGAUGUGACAGGUUAUAUACACACAUGCACACACUGAGCCCCAGUGUACCACCAGAGUAAAAUAGAAAGGCUGGGAUGUCUCCCACUUGAUAAAAAUAAAGUGUGAUGUUGCACUCCAUAUGUUUUAUGGAAAUAUGCUAAUGAGUGUAAAUAUAAUGUAAUUAGAAUAUGCUUUAUGCAAAAGGUCUCUUGUAAGGUAUCAUUACAAAGUUUAUGAUCUACUGAGUGUGUUCAUCCUAUUUGUUUGCAUGGAUUAUUUCUAUGUCUGGAGUUAGGAGAAUAAGAUAUAAACUUGUAUUACUGAUGUAAACAUGUUAAGUGGAAGCCAUUAAGGGUGCUUCAGAAUCAAUCACCUGUAAAUGGCUCUGUUUACUUACAAACCUUCCGGGGGUACGUGCCAGGCAACCUUGGAAGAAUGGAGACUAGGGGUCUCACAGGACAUGUGAACAUGUCACAUGAUACUGGAAUCCAUCUUAAACCUGGUGCUUUUCCAUUUAUAAGGUGGGGUGGGAACCCAGAGAGAGACAAAGGAUUCCUGCCUUUAGAUAUAAAGAUAUAAAAGGGGGUGGAACAGAACAAAGGAGGCUGCCAGUCAUGAGAAAUCCCCUAGUUACCACCUGAGCUGCAACUAAGGAUUGUACCAGGGGAAAGGAUUGGGCCCAGACUAGGAAGAAGUCUGGUCUGUGAAAGAAGCUUAUUGGAACAUCUCUGAGGGUGAGAUUUACCUAUAUUCAGUUUCUUAAUGUAUUAGGCUUAGACUUAUAUGUUUUGCUUUAUUUUGCUUGGUAACUUACUUUGUUCUGUCUGUUAUUACUUCAAACCGCUUAAAUCCUACUUUUUAUACUUAAUAAAACCACUUUUGUUUAUUAAUUAA